GGAGAGGCGGGGAGCCCGACGGCGGCUCGGCGGGGACAGAAAGGCUCGGGCCGGGCUCGUUCCACUCGGCGGCUCCCCCGCGCGGCCGCCGGGCGCCGGUGCAGGCGGCCGAGGGCAGCGCCCAGCAUCUCUUGAAUCUUGGUAAUAAAGUUGCCCGCCUGGUUUUGACAUGCCCCGACGCCAGUUGAACAGGUUCUGGACUGGGCAAGGUCUCCGUGCAGCCAGCCAGUGUCGCUGGGGCCUUCGGGACAGCCCUUUGUGCAGCUGUGAUGCCACGCAGCCGAUGACGCACAUUGUCGAGGAAUGCCUGCUGACUCAGGUCAGCGGUGGCCCAGAAGAGCUGCAUCCCGCCACUGACGAUGCCAUCGCUUGGCUAGACAACUAUGCACACGCGAAAUAAAUAAACUUCCCUUUGUUUUCACUGUAAA